rnacentral:rRNA from 1 species
AGGGCGGCAUGGAACCCCGCUUAGGAAGUAAGAUUUCGGCCAGUUGGCCCUAAUCGUUUUGUCGUCCAAGCAUCGUGUUUGGGGGAUUGGGAAUGCAUUAUGAAGCAAGGACCUUGGCUUUUCCGCAAUAUGGCUGUGCUCUUAUGCCCUUAUGACGGCUUCAGCAAGGCGGAGGAGGUAGAAUUCUUCCAUAUCCCAAUUUGGUUGCAGAUUCACAAGCUACCAGACCCUUAUUGCAAGCAAAAUAUCAUGGAGAAGUUGUUGAAAGAUGCAGGAGAAAUUUUGGAGAUGCGUUUGAACGGAAACACCCGUGGUGACUAUGUUAGGGUUCGGGUGAGACAUGAUAUCCGAAAGCCCCUGUACGUCAGUAUUGUUCGGGCAAAGGAGCGCCAGGUAUACUUGGUUCGAUAUGAGAAACUUGCUAGGUUUUGUAAGUUUUGUGGCCUUAUUGGUCAUGAUCACAAAGAGUGCGGCCUAGGCAUCCAUGAUGAGAAGGAUCUCAAGUUUGGGGACUGGAUUUAUGCAGAUGCUCCCAAUAAGCCUCGACUUGAAGAACGACCUACUAAGGCGACAGGCUAG